rnacentral:lncRNA from 1 species
CGGAUGUGAAACGGACAUUAACGGAAGGAUAACGGAUAAAACGGAUGCCUACCGGAUGUAAAACGGACAAAUGCCAAUUGAAAUUUCGCGUCAGAAAUGCCAAUAAUUGGUAUGUCAGAUUUUCUUGAGUGUCAUGAAUAUUUAUUAUUCGUGAUGGAUCUUGGAGUAAGAGCACGUCUUCGCUACCAAGCAGCUCUUAUUCAGGCCAGACUCAACUUAAAUGUAGCAAAUAUAAACCUUAUAGCUGUCGAAAGGAGAAGAAGGAGAAGACAAAGGAGAUGGUGGACACGACCAUGGCUUAGUCCUGAAAGACGACGCAGUUUUGGUCUAUAUGACCAACUCAUGACCGAACUUAGGCGGGAGGAUCGGCAGUCCUUUGUACACUUCCUUCGAAUGCCCACAGAG